UACAGAGGGGGCAAGCGUUAUUCGGAAUUAUUGGGCGUAAAGGGCGCGUAGGCGGCUUGGCAAGUGGAAGGUGAAAUCCCUCGGCUUAACCGAGGAACUGCCUUCCAGACUGCUUUGCUUGAGGCCGGGAGAGGCGAGUGGAAUUCCCAGUGUAGCGGUGAAAUGCGUAGAUAUUGGGAGGAACACCAGUGGCGAAGGCAGCUCGCUGGGACGUGACUGACGCUGAGACGCGAAAGCGUGGGGAGCAAACAGG
rnacentral:rRNA from 1 species